rnacentral:rRNA from 1 species
UGGGGAAUUUUGCACAAUGGGCGAAAGCCUGAUGCAGCAACGCCGCGUGAGUGAAGAAGGCCUUCGGGUCGUAAAGCUCUUUCGGCCGGGGAGAAGGGUGAUAUGGUAAAUAAUCAUGUCAUUUGACUGUACCGGAAGAAGAAGCACCUGCUAACUACGUGCCAGCAGCAGCGGUAAUACGUAGGGUGCAAGCGUUGUUCGGAAUUACUGGGCGUAAAGCGCGCGUAGGUGGGUUUGUGUGUCGGUUGUGAAAUCCCUAGGCUCAACCUGGGAACUGCAAUCGAAACUGCAAAUCUUGAAUGUUUGAGAGGGUGAUGGAAUUCCAGGUGUAGAAGUGAAAUUCGUAGAUAUCUGGAAGAACACCGGAGGCGAAGGCGGUCACCUGGCAAAACAUUGACGCUAAAGAGCGAAAGCGCGGGGAGCAAACAGG